GAUGAACGCUGGCGGCGUGGAUUAGGCAUGCAAGUCGAACGGUAUCAUCCUUUCGGGGGUGAGAGAGUGGCGAACUGGUGAGUAACACGUAGGUUAUCUACCCUCAAGACGGGGACAACCCAGGGAAACUUGGGCUAAUACCGGAUGUGAGCAACUUUUAGUUGUUUGAAAGGUGGCGUAAGCUGUCGCUUGGGGAUGAGCCUGCGUCCUAUUAGUUAGUUGGUGAGGUAACGGCUCACCUAGGCAAUGAUAGGUAGGCGGCCUUAACGGGUGGUCGCCCACACUGGGAUUGAGAUACGGCCCAGACUCCUACGGGAGGCAGCAGUCGAGAAUAGUCUACAAUGGUCGGAAGACUGAUAGUGCGACGCCGCGUGAACGAUGAAUCCCUUCGGGGUGUAAAGUUCUUUUAUAUGUGAGCAGUGCUUCUUAUAUUAACAGUAUGGGGAGAGAGAUAUUAGCAUAUGAAUAAGCAACGGCUAACUCCGUGCCAGCAGCCGCGGUAAACUCG
rnacentral:rRNA from 1 species